CGUGUAGGCGGGAAGAUAAGUCAGAUGUGAAAUCCCAGGGCUUAACUCUGGAGCUGCAUCUGAAACUGUUUUUCUUGAGUACUGGAGAGGAAAGUGGAAUUCCUAGUGUAGCGGUGAAAUGCGUAGAGAUUAGGAGGAACACCAGUGGCGAAGGCGGCUUUCUGGACAGUAACUGACGCUGAGGCGCGAAAGCGUGGGGAGCAAACAG
rnacentral:rRNA from 1 species